rnacentral:lncRNA from 1 species
AAACAAUCUACACGAAGUGACAGAAACAGGAGGAGCAGUAAAAGAUGAGGAAAAACGAUGAAGUGUUGAAGAUUACUGUCUGUACAUUGUAGCUAGCCAGACUGCCCGGACCAUAUCUGCUUGCUGAACCUAUUAGCUAUAUGUCCUGCAGAUACUAGUGUCCAAUUUUAUCAAAUCACAAACUAGGUUCGAUUCAUCUGUUCUUUUCUACCUCUCUCUUCUCACGGGUACUCAG